GAUGAAGAACGCAGCGAAAUGCGAUAAGUAGUGUGAAUUGCAGAAUUCAGUGAAUCAUCGAAUCUUUGAACGCACAUUGCGCCCUUUGGUAUUCCAAAGGGCAUGCCUGUUCGAGCGUCAUUUGUACCCUCAAGCUUUGCUUGGUGUUGGGCGUCUUGUCUCUAGCUUUGCUGGAGACUCGCCUUAAAGUAAUUGGCAGCCGGCCUACUGGUUUCGGAGCGCAGCACAAGUCGCACUCUCUAUCAGCAAAGGUCUAGCAUCCAUUAAGCCUUUUUUUCAACUUUUGACCUCGGAUCAGGUAGGGAUACCCGCUGAACUUAAGCAUAUCAAUAGCGAGGA
rnacentral:misc_RNA from 1 species